CCAGUCAGACACGACGACAGUUAAUUCAGACGUUCAAAAACAUCUUAAGAUUCUAACUUAGGUUGCAUGAAAUGACAAUGCAUGCUUGCUUUUCCAAUUAGUUUUAGGACUAGUCAAAUGGCACCGUGGUGUCGAUCAGUGACUGUUCUCGGCACAUAAAUUUGAUUCUUCUGCAAGUUUCAUGACUCAAAUGAUGGGUUGAAGAAACAAUAAUCUUGAAAUUAAGGUCUGUUUGGCUUGAAAACAUUUUCUUUUGAUACAAUUAAUUACUAAAUUUUAUUCCUUUGCAAGUUUUAUGACUCAAACCAUGGACUGAAUUAAUGAUAUUCGCGAAAUUAAGGUCUGUUUGGCUUGAAAACAUUUUCUGUUCAUACUAUUAAUUGCUAAACUACCAUUUACUUUAAUUGUUUCUUGUUUUCAAAUAUUCGUAUAAACGUAAAACAACUUUUUUUCCUACUGUAAGAAUAUUUGAAAACAGGAAACGAAGUGAAAACAAAGGACAGUUUCAAAAUUAAAAAUGAAAUGACAACAGAGAACAUUUUCACAAACCCCCUAAACGUUAAACAAAUUUCUGGCACAUACCUUAUCGUUCUCAAUCAUGAUAACAAACACAG
rnacentral:lncRNA from 1 species